rnacentral:lncRNA from 1 species
CAGGGAUUAUGAAGAGGAGGUGAAAAUGGUCCCACUAAGGACAACAAUCAGCACCCCGCUAUGAGAAGGAGGGAGGAAGGAGGAGCCACGAGUCUUCUGGGAGAGCAGACUCCUAUGAGGCGCAAGUCUCCUGGCCCCUCUUGCCACAAGCCAGGCCAAGAAGAGACUCCAAGAGGACAAUUCACAGAGACUGGGGAGAGAAUGGCGCUCCAUUUCCUGAUUCAAGGCAUCCAUGCAUGUGCGAAUCUAGUGGUCACAGCAUAGAAUCAUCCCUGGAUACCAUGGAGAGAGACAGAAGGAAGGAGUAUUGAUGCAAUUGAUGCACUGCACCUAGGAAAUGUUAGGCCUUAUAGGGAGACAUAUUUCUUCCUCUAAGAGAACCAUCUGCUGGAAC